rnacentral:rRNA from 2 species
UGCUUGCACCUGAUGGCGAGUGGCGAACGGGUGAGUAAUGCAUCGGAACGUGCCCAAUCGUGGGGGAUAACGCAGCGAAAGCUGUGCUAAUACCGCAUACGAUCUACGGAUGAAAGCGGGGGACCUUCGGGCCUCGCGCGAUUGGAGCGGCCGAUGUUAGAUUAGGUAGUUGGUGGGGUAAAGGCUCACCAAGCCGACGAUCUAUAGCUGGUCUGAGAGGACGACCAGCCACACUGGAACUGAGACACGGUCCAGACUCC